UUUUUCUGAAGCACAGGUAUAGAAAUUUUAAUAAUUGUAAUUGAAUAUUAUAAACGGAAUUCUUCAUAAACUUUUUCAAAAAAAAAUCUUUCUCAAUGAGACUAACUUUAUAAGGGUUCUCUGGAUUUCGGGCCUCCAAGCAUAGGCGGAUAUCGGGGGAUAUACCCACUCAGAAUGAUUUGGCCACAGAAGGUGGCUUAAGUGUUGUUCU